rnacentral:rRNA from 1 species
AUUGAACGCUGGCGGCAUGCCUUACACAUGCAAGUCGAACGGCAGCACGGGUGCUUGCACCUGGUGGCGAGUGGCGAACGGGUGAGUAAUACAUCGGAACAUGUCCUGUAGUUGGGGAUAGCCCGGCGAAAGCCGGAUUAAUACCGCAUACGAUCUACGGAUGAAAGCGGGGGACCUUCGGGCCUCGCGCUAUAGGGUUGGCCGAUGGCUGAUUAGCUAGUUGGUGGGGUAAAGGCCUACCAAGGCGACGAUCAGUAGCUGGUCUGAGAGGACGACCAGCCACACUGGGACUGAGACACGGCCCAGACUCCUACGGGAGGCAGCAGUGGGGAAUUUUGGACAAUGGGCGAAAGCCUGAUCCAGCAAUGCCGCGUGUGUGAAGAAGGCCUUCGGGUUGUAAAUCACUUUUGUCCGGAAAGAAAUCCUUGGCCCUAAUACGGUCGGGGGAUGACGGUACCGGAAGAAUAAGCACCGGCUAACUACGUG